GUCGAGCGGUAGAGAGAAGCUUGCUUCUCUUGAGAGCGGCGGACGGGUGAGUAAUGCCUAGGAAUCUGCCUGGUAGUGGGGGAUAACGUUCGGAAACGGACGCUAAUACCGCAUACGUCCUACGGGAGAAAGCAGGGGACCUUCGGGCCUUGCGCUAUCAGAUGAGCCUAGGUCGGAUUAGCUAGUUGGUGGGGUAAUGGCUCACCAAGGCGACGAUCCGUAACUGGUCUGAGAGGAUGAUCAGUCACACUGGAACUGAGACACGGUCCAGACUCCUACGGGAGGCAGCAGUGGGGAAUAUUGGACAAUGGGCGAAAGCCUGAUCCAGCCAUGCCGCGUGUGUGAAGAAGGUCUUCGGAUUGUAAAGCACUUUAAGUUGGGAGGAAGGGUUGUAGAUUAAUACUCUGCAAUUUUGACGUUACCGACAGAAUAAGCACCGGCUAACUCUGUGCCAGCAGCCGCGGUAAUACAGAGGGUGCAAGCGUUAAUCGGAAUUACUGGGCGUA
rnacentral:rRNA from 1 species